GUGUGUGAUUCUCCCAAAGGAUGAGCCUUUCUCAAGGGGGGAAACUGUCAGAACCAUCACACACACAAUAUGUCUACACCUUUGCUUGUGAGGUCUCUGCGUGUGCUUGUAUCACACAUCUGCUACUUAGCUGAAUGAGGGCAGAGCACGGCUUUAGGUCACCUUGGCUCUGCCUUAAGGGAAGCUGCCUUGAGGACCAGUAUUCUUAAUAUACGGAAAGACUAUUUCCCAAGAAGGAAGGACACUUCUGAGUACUCUCCCUUACACACUCCACUUGCUUCUAGGAUCAUGGGGGUUCGUGUAAAUCUGUAUCCAGAACCUUCUUCUCUGCCACUGAGGAUUCUCAUGCACCCCCUUUACUGGUGGUGUGGGUUGUGGCAUGCUUCCUCCAGGUAGUCCCACCUCCCAAAGCACUGGUGACAUAAACUCCAGCUGGAGACACGAGAAAAGCUAGCCAGCUCAACAAGAAAGGAGAGGAGCAGAUGUAGCAGAGCCUGGAGGUGUAGGUUCCAAAAAGGAUGACCUUUUCCAUGAGUAAAGGGAAUAUAACCCAUGUCUUCCCUCUGUACAUGGGGCAACUAGUAUGCUGGUACAAUGGAGAGAAGCAGAUGCUUUCUCAUGAAGCUCAGCUCUCUAGAGAUUAUCCACAUAGGUCCUGCCACAGUCUAUUGGCAGUUCGUGUGGGGCUGGACCAGACAAAAUGCUCCACAGCAAAACUGCAUUUAGCAUAAAGAAAUAACCCCAGCCGGCUGAAGACUUCUCAGCAAAGAAUGGCCCCAAAGGGAAAAGACUUGAAGCCAGUCAAAAGAAGGGUGUAUUGAAAAUGCCUUCUGCUGUUUGAAACCGUGAUUCAGCUAAAAUGGGGUGUUUGUGCUUUCUGGGUCUCAAUACAGAAAAAGACAUCCUAGCUGCGUCUUGGGCACAGAAGAGUGGGAUCAUGGUGCCAUUCAUAGCCAAGGGCUACUGUUGGUAAGCAUGGCUCAUAACCUUGGCCAGACAGAGAAGCCUCACCACAAGGUCACAUAUUCAAAGACUGGUGUGUAUAUGUGUAUGCAUACGCAGGAAUGUGUAUAGGAACACAGACAUCCAGGAACCCAGUUAAUUCUUUCUUACUAUUGGACCAAAAGAUCACAGGAGGAAGAAAGCCAUCCUUCCAGUAGAAGUGAUGUUAGGUCUAAAUCCCAGGUCAUGAGUGAGGCAUGGAGACUCAGCUGAGAAGUAAUCAAGACCAUGAGAUAUUUGGGGGUGUUUCUGUGGUCCAGGGCUGAAAGACUUACCAAUUUUUUUUUCUCACAUCGUAGAACUGGAGAAAGGAAAUCUGCUUCGCAGACCUCAGACAAGGGCCACAAGAACAUGUACACUGCAAAUGGUUAUAUUAUACAUCACCUGACAACCUCACAUCAGAUAAAGGGGUCCUCGCUCCGCACAGCAAGGGAGAAAAAAAUAUUCAUCGGUAAAGGAAGAAGCCUGCACAGAACCAUUUCUUCUCACUCCUUAUAUGUACAAACAUGAAUAAUUUGACAUGAUGUUUAGACAGUUUUCACCUAACUUAAGUCUUUUAAUUAAAAUGAAAGGCAGAAAAUAUGCUUUAAAUAUGAAUGCGAGAGGUGUGAGUUGGCAUCCCCCAGCCUUCCUCCUCCUCUCUCUCUGUUGUUAGCGAGCACAAUGAGAUCUCAUUGCUCCCACCGUCUUUUCAUAAUGUUUAUGGUUGUUUUAGGUAACACAUAAACCACGUUGAGUGUGAUAUUCCCGUUAUUACAUGUCAGGGGCACAUAUUAAACUGGAGCCCGUCCCUUUUCCUGCUAUUUACUUUUGUGGCAAAUCAGUCAAUGUAUUUUCCUCCACUCACCAGGCAAUAUUGCAGGGUUGCCUGCAGCCCUGAAGGUAAAUGCUAACUUUUCAGCCUGUGCCAAGCGGCACGCCCUGGGCUCGCCACCAAGUGAAUGAGAGCAGUAUAUUCUGGGCUGAAAAAUGGGCUCAGAUGUUGCCCCUAAUAAAUUACGUGAUUAUUAAAUUGCCGUGCAGUUCCAACCCACGUUAUUUUAUUUUGCCUCUUGCCGGCUCCCUUGUCGCCUUCCCUGCCUCGCCUCCGUUUUCCGUGUGCUUAACUCGUAAAAUGCUAAACAAGUUUUGAUAUUUACCUGUUUAUGAUUAAAUUGCAAAAUGAUCUGCUUAGUUCUGUUCUAAAUUAAGGUCUGCAUUAAAUGUCAUAGCAUUUAUCUUUCAUAAAAUGAGACAGCAAGGACACUAAUUUCCUAGGUAUUCAAUCACUGCCCUGUGCCACUGGAGAGACAGUGAAGGAACAGGCCUGCCCACAGUUCACAGCUCACUGACAGCCCUGAGAUGGAAUCAUAAAAGUCAAUUAAUCAUUAAAAGCUGUUACAAGCACAUAUCGAACCGGUCUGGCACAAAAUGUUAAUCAGUCCAAUAUCAAUAUAAUAAAUUCCUGCAAAUUGGAGCGAUCGAUACAUUUAAGGCCUAAUGAAUCAAUUUGAGGGCACCGGGCUGUUCCUUGGGGUCCCCGUGACAUGGCAGCCGGGUGAGUGCUACAUCUCUAGGCGCACUGCCAACAGAGGUCACCUAUCCUAACAGGCUGUUCACUUCAGCCGCAGUUACCACGGUGACAGCAUGUCACCGUUGCCCUAGUGUCCUUCUAGGUAAGGUAGACGGCAAUGCAUCACUGCCCUUGAUGGAUUUGUCAAUAAUACUUAACGGGGGAGGGGGGCUGCUCACAUAACACACGGAGGCCUCCUGUCCCCUAGCAGGUUGGUGUGAUUUAAUUGUCUGAAGGGGUGUGUGCGUCUGCAUAUAUGCAGGAUCUAAGCAGCAGUUACAGGCAGAGGGAGUUGGCAGUUGAGCUGAUUGCUUUAGGAUGGCUAAGGAAAAUAACCCAGAAAGUAACAGGCGGUCAGAGUGAUGAUCAAGGUGUUACAUUAACUAAGUCUCUGUGUGAGUAAGAAACCACCUAGAGCCUCUCAGAUUAACAAUUUAUUACCUACAACAUUUUAAUACAUCACUCAUGUGUGGAAAUGGAGUUGGGUAUUAAUACCCCAAGGCCUAGACCCAUAGUGGUGCUUCUAGAUGCCUGCUUACAGCUCCGUAUGUCCACCAAGGAAAGUCCAUCAGGGUAAACUUAGGUGAGCAGAAAUGAUUGAUAGGUUUGUUCCCCUCCCUCUCCUCCUACUCCCCAUCACCCGCAGUCGCUCCUUGCCCAAACAACCAUGGCUCUGGAAGCCUGAAGCAGACUGGGCAUGAAGAAAUGGGAGUUUAAACAAUCCUCUUCGUCACCUGUUUUCAAAAAGCGGAAUUUUCCUGUUUCAACACAUCUUAUCUAUCGUUACACCUAUUAAAACUGACCAGCGAAGGGAAGCAGGAACAGUUUUGGCAUUGCAGAGUGGAGUAAAACCUCUUUAGAGACGAAAAGAAAUCUCAGUAACUGAGACUCCAGGGAAUCCCCAUGUUCCAGAACCUUCACUGUCAUUUAACACAAAGCAUAAAGGUUAAUACUGAAUAAAAUAAUACCUUGGGUGAUGAUUUUAAUAGUCUCAAAGUACAACUUUCCCCCUGGGUUGCUCUUCCAUAGGGCACGGGCCCACACACAUCUGAUUGUCCUGUGUGUCCCCGCUGCUUUACCAAUAGGAUCACUCGAUUCAGUUUAAUCCCCAGAAGUUACUGUGUGAGUUUCCCCUGCAGUCAUUUAUUCCCUUCUGGGGGGGAGGGGGGGGACGUGGAAGCUAUGCCAAGUGAAGGAAAGGUUAAUUUCUACUGCCUAGUUAUUUUAAAAGAUUUUUUUUUCUUACCUGAAAAAAAAUCGUUUUUUAUUGUAGUGGUCUGAAUUAUAGGAAACAUCAAAAUAAAUUACAAAUUCUCUGCUAAAGAAAUAACUAUUCAAUGCAUUGAGACAGGGUGAUGUUGCUGGUGUUCAGACAAAGGUAAUGCGGUGCCUUGGCUUAAUUGCCCUGACACCUUGCUCAAAUACUCAAGCUACACUCUUUGAAAGAGAGAGAGAAAAAAAUCUCUCAUUGUUAUUAAUUGUAUUCCUUUUAGAAUGUAAUGUCAUAUCGCUGCAGGCUGAGCUAAUGAAACAUACCCAUAUAACCAAAAUAGUCAUAUUUCUUUUUGUUCAACACAUUCUAUCAAAACUGUCUGCUAAAGACAUUGUGUUAAGAUCUUUUCACAGAGCAAUAUAAAGAACAUCUCAACUACUUCAACAUUUCUAUUAUCCGAUUACUAAAAUGCCCAGGAGGACCAGACAAUAUAGUGUGAAUUCAGUUAUCCUAUAAGACUUUAGAAAUAUUGCUAAUUCCUGCCUUGGAUUUAUGUUAAUAUUAAUGCUAGAUUACAUGCUAUAGCUCUGAAUACCUUCUGCAUACCAAUUCUCAACAAAGGCAGGAUGCUCCCAUGCACUGAAGCUAUAUGCCUCUAUGAUAAUGAGAAUCUGAAUUAUUUAUUUCUAUUUAUCCUACAGGAGUUCGCUCGACCCCAGUCGCAUUUUCUUUCUCCGCUGCACAUCAAUGCGUGUAAACACGGCUUCGGAGCGGCUGCCCACUUUCUGUGUUCGUCUUCUCUUUUUCAGCAAAGCAAUAGGCAGUAGACAAGAAUGUUACACCGCUAGGAGAAUCCGUUUAAGCGUGUGUUUGAGGAGUCAGGAGUCAGUGUGAUUGUGAAGGUUAACCUCCGUUGUCAGGUUCACUGCACCUGAAAUCAACUAAAAUGCUCAUCUAAAGUGCAAACAUCCUGGCACACCUAUCUGUGAAGGAGUCUCUUGAUUGGAUCAUUUGAGGCUGGAAGACCCACCCUAAAUAUAGAUUGAUAUUAGAACACCUUCCCUAAAUCUGGGCCACAUCUUCUAGGGACAGCCCACAUAAAAGGACACGGAAGAAGGAAGCUUUUGCAUUUUGCCUGCUUUCCCUCAUUCUCCAAAACAAGUUCAUCUACCCUGCUGCUGAGACUUUAACUUUGCUGGUGUUAGAACCUGAUCCUUUGGGAUUCCAAUGUGGACAAGAACAGCCGAGACAUCUUGUGAAUGGAAUGGCAACCAAGUUCUUGACCUUCCUAAAGGGAGAGAGCCAUUGUUGGACAAGAGCAACCACAGACUAUAAGUCACCUCUUUUUUUUUUUAAUUAAUUUAUUUUUUUACACUCCAUGUUUUAUUCCAGCCCCCACCAGCCACCCUCUGAGCGUGCCACAUCCCUGACCUCCUCCCCACCCU
rnacentral:lncRNA from 1 species